AUUGAACGCUGGCGGCAGGCCUAACACAUGCAAGUCGAGCGGUAACACAGGGAGCUUGCUCCUGGGUGACGAGCGGCGGACGGGUGAGUAAUGUCUGGGAAACUGCCUGAUGGAGGGGGAUAACUACUGGAAACGGUAGCUAAUACCGCAUAACGUCGCAAGACCAAAGAGGGGGACCUUCGGGCCUCUUGCCAUCAGAUGUGCCCAGAUGGGAUUAGCUAGUAGGUGGGGUAACGGCUCACCUAGGCGACGAUCCCUAGCUGGUCGGAGAGGAUGACAAGGCACACUGGAACUGAGACACGGUCCAGACUCCUACGGGAGGCAGCAGUGGAGAAUAUUGCACAAUGGGCGCAGCCUGAUGCAGCCAUGCCGCGUGUAUGAAGAAGGCCUUCGGGUUGUAAAGUACUUUCAGCGGGGAGGAAGGCGAUAAGGUUAAUAACCUUGUCGAUUGACGUUACCCGCAGAAGAAGCACCGGCUAACUCCGUGCCAGCCGCCGCCGUAAGAC
rnacentral:rRNA from 1 species